UACGAAGGGGCUAGGCGUUGUUCGGAAUCACUGGGCGUAAAGCGCACGUAGGCGGAUCUUUAAGUCAGGGGUGAAAUCCCGAGGCUCAACCUCGGAACUGCCUUUGAUACUGAAGAUCUUGAGUUCGGGAGAGGUGAGUGGAACUGCGAGUGUAGAGGUGAAAUUCGUAGAUAUUCGGAAGAACACCAGUAGCGAAGGCGGCACUCUGGGCCGGUACUGACGCUGAGGAGCGAAAGCGUGGGGAGCAAACAGG
rnacentral:rRNA from 1 species